GUCACAGUAAAAGUCAAUAAUAUUCAUGGCCGCUGUGAUCCAAGCAGAUGUGAAAGGUAAGUCAAGGCCGAUGUAGGAGGGUGUCAGCAGAAAGGAGAAAAUCAAACCGUUUUUGUCUCUCUUGUUUCCGGGACAUAAUUAUAAACUGCCGUGAUGGUUGUGAGAAUCACUUCUUCCCCUUCCUGAGCUUGACAAUGCAAUGGAGAGUGGGUGGGUUGAAGGAAUUUGCAGGAGUGCAGGGCAGAGGGAGAAUAGGGAAACACGAAUGGCAGAUUCCAGAGCUACAGCUUGCAAAGAAAAUGACUGUUAUGAACUGAAAAUAUGGAAACAGCUGCUAAGCACAGUGCAAAAUCUUCAAAGAUUUGUGCAGGCAGGGCUAGGCUCCUUAGGGGAAAGAGCUUUCAAAAGUUUGGGAGUUGGAAAUGCCCUCAGGUGCAGGAUUUCUUUCUUUUUUUAAAAAAAAAGGGGGGGAGAGAAUUAAAAUCUUCAUACCUCACCCUUCCUUACAAACCAGAACUAUAAAAUACAAUAAAAGGCUGUUAAUGGUUCUCAUCAAACAAUGCAAUCCUUCCUCUAACCCUAACCCUGUCAUAAUAUCCUCUCCACACAGACACACACAAAAGAAACUACAGCAAGGAUCCAAAGGAGAUGCUUGUAGAAAAUGUUGGUUUUAUCACCUGGGCAGAGUAUAAAGUUAGAUUACGAUCACAAUUAAUAUUAUUCAUGUAGUGCCAAAAAUGUGCGUGGUUCUUUCCUAAGUAAUCAGGGCAGGCUCUACGGUUGUGCCGCAAGGAGGGUUACAAUCUAAAAUCUGAUACAGGAGAAGACCAGAGGGAGUGAGGGUAGCAAGGAAGGAAUAUGCAUUUUGUUCAACUGGCAACCAACUUGCUGCUUAGGAAGAGAGGAUGAUUACAUUAACUAGAGAUAUCUGCUAAAAUGAUCAGCAGUGAGGCGUCAUAAAAUAAUCAUAACAUUUAAAAUAAUCAGCACUGAAUCUCAAAAAUGCCAUGGUGCACCCGUAGCAGCAAAAUCGGAUGCCUUCAUCUGCCCCACCUGCAAUCAAACAUGUCUCUCCCUGAUUUGGUCUCUACAGCAGAUGCUGUAACUCUCCCAAUGGUUUGGUUUUACCCCUGAAGGCACAAUCUUGCAUUGUCUCCCGAGACAGACAGAUGCCAACAACAAAUCCUAGAACUGAGUUAAUAUCUUUUUGCUGAACGAGAGUAGCACACAUUGCAUACAAACAUAUAUUUAUUGUGUGGUUCCCGUUCUGUGAGUUGGGGGUGCAGGGGCAGGAAUGGUACCCAGUGCCCCUCACCCUCAAGGCUGGAACAUUCCAACAUUGAAAGUACACUCCUGUUGAGACAUUGGGCCAAGGUGUAACAAGAAGGGGGCUUCAGGUAAUUAUGCAAGCCACCCACCCCCUGGGCCUCUGAGAAUCUUUUAAAAGAGCAUUUUCUUAUCACAAUCAAAGUGAAGGAAGUGAUAUUGUUGCACACCACACCAAUCUGAGCAGUAUGAGAUUCCAGGGGUUCUGGGCGCAUACCCAGGCUUCGUGUUUCCUUCAGAAUGAGGCACAGCAGAGACUGUGGUUUCUUUAUUGUAUAUGGUUUAUUUACACAUGUAUACAAACUGAGUCUGUGAUGGAGGGUCUCACAGCAUUAACGCCUAUGUGGCUCUGUCUCUCUGUUUCCAGCCUGCAAUUUUUGCAUCCAGCUUCUAGCUCACACAACUCAACUCUCAAUUCUGGCCUUAUGUCUUUCUAACUAACAGACAGUUGAGGGAGGGAGGCCCACCCAUUCCCCUUCUGCCACAGAGCCACUGUUACCCUAUAGGACCUAUACUUAGGGGGCCGUUACCAGGCUGGCCUAGCUAGUCCAGCAGUUGAAUCCUUGCUGGUUCCAGGAAUUAGAAGUUGCGCACAGGCAUACAGCCUACCCUGUCCCCAACUCACAACAAUAUGUUUCUAUUCAGAAGUUUGAAUUCAGGAGUUAAAAUAUCAACGAGUAGGUGUAUGAUUCCCAUGUCUAGGAUUGCCUUACAAUAUUAUUUUCUAGGGGUCUGAGGAAAAAUCUAGUUGGGCAGAAUCUAAGAGGAGGCUCCCUCUGUUUCUUUGGGGUUUUAAAACUAGAUUUUGAACUAGUGGAGCAUGUCUCACUCACAUUUUGCUUCAUUCCCUCCACCUCCCCAAUUUUCUAAUAGGCUAUUCAUCUCCUCUUUUUUAAAAAUAGAAAAUGAGGUUUUAAAAUGUUGGACAUCAUGGUAUAUUUCCACAUAUUUCCUCCCCCACAUGCCAUGUUUAUUAUGUCUCAGUAGAAAUGGCGAUGGGCCUUCCUUGAAUAAUAGCUUUUUGCAGCCAAGGCCCUUCAUGAAUGACAACCCAGACAUUUGUUAUUCUGAGUAGCUUGUACGUGCAGUGCUAAAUGUAGUAACUUUGAUACAAGUCUGGGUGAAGGAUUUAUGGUUUGUUUUCUGUUUUAAUUAAAAGAGCACUGAAGCAUCCUGCUAGAGUUAAGAGGGUGAUACGGACUUUGGAUGGAGAUCUAAAGGAAAAAGUAUGUCAUUUCUGUUUCUUGAAUGUGCCCCUUUAAUUGUAAUCGGCCACAAGCCAGGUAACCUAUUAAACCCUUUGCCCCUUGCACUGCAAGAGGAUAAGAGCAUGUAAAAUCCAGUAACUCUUUAACUAGGAGACCAAGCAUUACUUCAGUUCAACAACAAAUACUCUUUUGUUUCUUUGGCUCAAAGUUGCCGACCAGAGUAUCUGCUUCACAGCCCACAGUACCUGAAAGAGCAUUAGCUCUGCCAAAGAGAGACCGAGAUACAACCUACCACUUCCCCUUGCUUGAUGACCCUUCCUCUGGAGAUCCUUGUACUCAACUUGUAUUUCUUACUUGUCCCUCACAAGACAAAAAUACAAACAAUACUGAGUUUCUCAUCUCCAGAUUUUGGAGUGUUUUCAGCAGCCCUUAUGGCUUAGCUAACAUAACCCUGUGGGGUGCCUGGAAUAUAGCCCUUUUUGGCCCUUGAGUCUGAAGCGUUUGGUCAGUGGAGAUUAAAAAUUUGGAUGAAUUCUGUCAGAAAAGGAAAUGAGAGUGGCAAUAGCCGCAGUUUGCAUGUUCAGUUUGCAUGUAUUUGUAAUGUCAAAUACAAGAGGUAUUCACUAUCUUUUUUUUUUUAAGUCCACAAAUGCCUCCUAAGCUGAUGCUCUAAACCACUACACUGAUAAACUAGCCUGCUUCACCCCAUUCUUUAACUUUGCACACGCACCCUGGAAAAAGUGCUGUGGACAGCCAUGUAUGCCGCAGCUCCAGAGACAAGGAAGUGACCGAGACUGAAGCUUACAGGUCAUCCUGGCCUAGGGCUGUGAAGCCAGAGCCAGAUAUGAGAAAAUAAGGGUGGAAUCGGGUUCAGGUUUGGGCUAAGCUCUAUUUAACUAGAUGUGACUUAGUUUUGAGCAAAAAUGUAUAGAACUGUGCUGCAAAUCACUCAUUUGCAUAUCACUCAAGAAUUAUACUCUUGUCUCCUCUUUUAAGAUACCCAUCUUAGGUAAGAGGAACAACUUUCUUCCCUCUUUUCUCCUCUCUGUUUAGAAAGAACUCUAGUUUGUUGUUGUUGUUGUUGUUCAGCUUGUUGGCUUUCCCUUUUCUUAUUCCAGGAAUCAUUGCAGGGAUUGGGGGAAGAUAAGCUAGAGGUAUUGCACACUGCUUUAGACCAUUCUCUCUCCUCACCUUUCCCACUGAGCCUCUUGGGCUUGCUGAUCAGAAGGUCAGUGGUUCAAAUCCCCACAACGGGUGAGCUCCCAUUGCUCUGCCCCAGCUUCUGCCAACCUAGCAGUUUGAAAGCAUACCAGUGCAAGUAGAGGUACUGCUGUGGCGGGAAGGUAAACGGCGCUUCCGUGCGCUCUGGCUUCCGUCAGCCACAUGACUCUGAAAGCUGUCUGCGGGCAAACGCCGGCUCCCUCAGCCUGAAAGCGAGAUGAGCGCCGCAACCCCGUGGUCACCUUUGACUGGACUUAACCAUCCAGGAGUCCUUUACCUUUUUACCUUACUACCAAUACAACACCAGGUCCCAUAGAUCCUUCCAAAACAAGAGGCUGCUGGGAGGGAAAGUCUGGCUAGCCAACGUGGUAGCUUCUAGUUGUUGCUGGACUCCACAUCCUAUUAGCCCAAGCCAUCCGGGCCAGUAGUCAGGGAUGAUAGGAGUUGUAGUCCAACAACAUCUGGAGGGCAUAGCUGUCAACGUUUCCCUUUUCUUUAAGGGAAAUUCCCUUAUUCAGAAUAGGAUUCCUCACAAGAAAAGGGAAAAGUUGACAGCUAUGCUGGAGGGCACCACGGUGGCUGUCCCUGUUGUAAUAUGUUCCAUAUGUUCUCCAGGUGGCUUACAAAACAGUAAAAUAUAUGCAUAAAAGAAAAUUAACAUAGCAUUCCAAAUAAAAAUAAAAGUGUCAGU